rnacentral:tRNA from 1 species
GGGAAUGUGGCUUAGUGGUAGAGUACUUGCCUAACAUGCAUGAAGCCCUGGGUUCAAUUCCUCAGUACCA